AACAGCAAGGACCUGCAGCACAUCUGGCCCUUCAUGUAUGGGGACUACAUUGCCUAUGACUGCUGGCUGGGGAAGGUCUACGACUUGAAGAACCAGAUCAUCCUGAAGCUAUCCAACGGCGCCAGGUGCUCCAUGAACACGGAAGAUGGCGCCAAGCUCUACGACGUCUGCCCGCACGUCAGCGACUCGGUAGUGUGCUCCAUCCAGGCCGGCACCCUUCUCUGAUUGCUCAGUCCUCUGGAAGGAGGACUUCGUAGCAAAGAGCUUGUAGCUGGAGCCAGCUAAACAGAGCGGUUUCCUAGAAAAGGGGCGGGUGUGCGCCAGAGGGUCUGAAAGGUUGGGUAUAGGCAGAAAGUAUUAGAACUUUUUUUUUUUUUUUUUUUUUUUUUGAGACAGAGUCUCACUCUGUUGCCCAGGCUGGAGUGCAACGGUGCGAUCUCGGCUCACUGCAACCUCCACCUCCCGGGUUCAAGUGAUUCUUUGGCCUCAGCCUCCCGAGUAGCUGGGAUUACAGGCGUGUGCCACCACACCCAU
rnacentral:sRNA from 1 species